UACGAGGGGGGCGAGCGUUGUUCGGAAUUAUUGGGCGUAAAGGGUGCGUAGGCGGUUUGGUAAGUCUGAUGUGAAAUCUAUGGGCUCAACUCAUAGUCUGCAUCGGAAACUGCCGGGCUUGAGUAUGGGAGAGGUGAGUGGAAUUCCUGGUGUUGCGGUGAAAUGCGUAGAUAUCAGGAGGAACACCUGUGGCGAAAGCGGCUCACUGGACCAUAACUGACGCUGAUGCACGAAAGCUAGGGGAGCAAACAGG
rnacentral:rRNA from 1 species